rnacentral:rRNA from 1 species
CGGUUGAUCCUGCCGGACCCCACUGCUUCGGGGUAGGACUAAGCCAUGCAAGUCGUGCGCUCCAAUUGGAGACGCGGCGAACGGCUCAGUAACACGUAGCCAACCUACCCUUGGGACGAGCAUAACCCCGGGAAACUGGGGUUAAUGCUCGAUAGACGAAAAAACCUGGAAUGGUUUUUCGUCGAAAAGACUUUGGGAACAUGCUUCCCAAAGUCGCCCAAGGAUGGGGCUGCGUCCGAUCCAGGUAGUUGGUGAGGUAACGGCUCACCAAACCUAUAACCGGUACGGGCCGCGAGAGCGGGAGCCCGGAGAUGGGCCCUGAGACAAGGGCCCAGGCCCUACGGGGCGCAGCAGGCACGAAACCUCUGGAAUCCGCGAAAGCGGGUCAGGGCUACCCCGAGUGCCAUCCUCUGAGGAUGGCUUUUCCCCGGCGUAAUGAGCCGGAGGAAUAAGGGGAGGGCAAGCCUGGUGUCAGCCGCCGCGGUAAUACCAGCUCCCCGAGUGGUGGGGACUUUUAUUGGGCCUAAAGCGUUCGUAGCCGGUCCAACAAGUCUCCUGUAAAAUCCAACGAUCUAAUCGUUGGACUGCAGGAGAUACUGUUGGACUAGGAGGCGGGAGAAGCCGACGGUACUCCUAGGGUAGGGGUGAAAUCCUAUAAUCCUAGGAGGACCACCAGUGGCGAAGGCGGUCGGCUAGAACGCGCUCGACGGUGAGGGACGAAAGCUGGGGGAGCGAUCCGGAUUAGAUACCCGGGUAGUCCCAGCUGUAAACGAUGCAGGCUAGGUGUUGAAGUGACCACGAGUCACUUCAGUGCCGCAGGGAAGCCGUUAAGCCUGCCGCCUGGGAAGUACGGUCGCAAGACUGAAACUUAAAGGAAUUGGCGGGGGAGCAC